UAUGCCUCCUCAAGAGGCACCUCUGCAGAUGACAGGAGAUAUAUUCACUCAUAGUAGAAACAUCAGCUUGAACAUGAAGCCUUCAUCAGCAGCAGCAACAAGCAACAGAGAGGAAAGAAAGAAAAUUGCUGUCACAGCACAUGAGAAGGCCAGGAAGCAGGAAGGAGUAGAGGCCUGUUUUUGAGCCAGUGCUUGGCCUGGAUCUGACUCUUGAUGCUUGGGUGACGCACUCAACACCAGUCACCUCUAUGCUGUUAAAGUGAAGUCAAGAAUGGUUGAGAGCAUAAACAUUUCUGCAAAGAUCAAUGGAAACAACAUUAGAUGCAGGAUUUCCAGGUGUAACUUUGGUUGAGGUAAAUGGUGAAUGGUUGCAGCUCACCACCACAUAACUAUCUCCUGUUAUAUUUGUGGGUUUUUGCACAAAGAUUGUGAAUUUCUCCACCUCGUUUGUGUCUGGUUGACAGAGUUUGAGAGCAAAUAUGUAGCCCUGAGCUCCUCUGAGGAUCUCUGGAAGGAGCACUAUAAGCUGUCCAUCCCUGAA